GCUUACGGCCACACCGCCUGGUUCACGCCGAUCUCGUUUGAUCUCGGAAGAUAAGAUAGGUGGGCCUGGUUAGUACUUGUAUGGGAGACUGCCUGGGAAUACCAGGUGCUGUAAGCU
rnacentral:rRNA from 1 species